GACGUAGGGCGCAAGCGUUUGUCCGGAAUUAUUGGGCGUAAAGAGCUCGUAGGCGGUCUGUCGCGUCUGCUGUGAAAACUCGGGGCUUAACCCCGGGCCUGCAGUGGGUACGGGCAGACUAGAGUGCGGUAGGGGAGACUGGAAUUCCUGGUGUAGCGGUGAAAUGCGCAGAUAUCAGGAGGAACACCGGUGGCGAAGGCGGUUCUCUGGGCAUGUCCUGACGCUGAGGAGCGAAAGUGUGGGGAGCGAACAGG
rnacentral:rRNA from 1 species